rnacentral:rRNA from 1 species
UGGGGAAUAUUGCACAAUGGGCGAAAGCCUGAUGCAGCAACGCCGCGUGAGUGAUGAAGGCCUUCGGGUUGUAAAGCUCUGUCUUUUGGGACGAUAAUGACGGUACCAAAGGAGGAAGCCACGGCUAACUACGUGCCAGCAGCCGCGGUAAUACGUAGGUGGCAAGCGUUGUCCGGAUUUACUGGGCGUAAAGGAUGCGUAGGCGGAUUUUUAAGUGAGAUGUGAAAACCCUAAGCUUAACUUGGGGACUGCAUUUCAUACUGGAAAUCUAGAGUGCGGGAGAGGAGAAUGGAAUUCCUAGUGUAGCGGUGAAAUGCGUAGAGAUUAGGAAGAACACCAGUGGCGAAGGCGAUUCUCUGGACCGUAACUGACGCUGAGGCAUGAAAGCGUGGGUAGCAAACAGGAUUAGAUACCCUGGUAGU